UACAGAGGGGGCAAGCGUUGUUCGGAAUCAUUGGGCGUAAAGCGCGUGUAGGCGGCUUGGCAAGUCGGUUGUGAAAGCCCGGGGCCCAACCCCGGAAUUGCAUCUGAAACUGCCUCGCUAGAGUCCCGGAGAGGAAGGCAGAAUUCCCGGUGUAGGGGUGAAAUCCGUAGAUAUCGGGAGGAAUACCAGCGGCGAAGGCGGCCUUCUGGACGGUGACUGACGCUGAGACGCGAAAGCGUGGGGAGCAAACAGG
rnacentral:rRNA from 1 species